rnacentral:rRNA from 1 species
AACGAACGCUGGCGGCAUGCCUAACACAUGCAAGUCGAACGAAGGCUUCGGCCUUAGUGGCGCACGGGUGAGUAACACGUGGGAACCUGCCUUUCGGUUCGGAAUAACGUCUGGAAACGGACGCUAACACCGGAUACGCCCUUUGGGGGAAAGUUCACGCCGAGAGAGGGGCCCGCGUCGGAUUAGGUAGUUGGUGUGGUAACGGCGCACCAAGCCGACGAUCCGUAGCUGGUCUGAGAGGAUGACCAGCCACACUGGGACUGAGACACGGCCCAG